UCCAGGAAAGAGUGUAACUAGUGCACAACCCGCAGUUGCACAAAAGCCCUCCUGGCCACCACUGCCACCUGCUCUUUGAGCAGGAGUCAUGAGUCCAGGAACACCUCUAGAUUAUGCAUGGGGUCAGUUUGGGGUAGUGCCACCCCUUCCAAGACCAAAGGUGGAAAUUCACCCUGAGCCAACCAACUCCAAACCCAGAGCCACUCAGUCUUGCAAGGGUUUAGUUUCAACCAGUUUCUUCCCAUCCAGCCCCUAACUGCCUCCAGGCACUGUGAGAGGGAGGACACUUAAAUUGCUUCUAAACAAAGCAGCAACCAUACCCAUACUCUAAAAUAAACAAUAUUAAAGUGGGGAUUUAGUGUAAUAUCAUGCUAUAAAUAUUUUUAGGGUUAAAUCUGAAGUGUAUUCAAAUUCCUCCUGGAAACACAAAUCUUCUCCCUGUUUUGGUAGUUUUAUGUAUUUUAUUUAAAGUUUUAAAAGUAAUAUAUGACCAUAUGCAGAUUUAACAAUUCCAAAAAGCUUGCAAGCUUCUAAAAAUCAAAUUUCUGAUUUUUGUUCACCUUUCAUUUUGUCCACUGCACAAUCCACAUGGGUACCAAUACACGUGGUACAUCAUACAACUGACAGAAAUGCUACUUCUCUCUCAUGUUAUCAAUCUGGCUAUACAAUCUGCCAGGAAGAACAAAUUGAUGGCUGUAUCCCAGCCACAGCAUAGAGACAAAAAUCAAAACAUGAUUGCUAGGUUCGGUCUGCGAUGUCUUAUAGCUAUUAUUGUACUCCAGGUGAUCACACUCACCUGUAAGUCCUGCUUGUGAAAGGAAUAGUGUUUGUGAGGUGCUUUAAUUUAGGCUGCUCAAGGUACUUAUGUUGUAUUAAACCAGCUUGGUUUUGUUUGUUUUUAAUUGGACUUCAACUCCCAGAAUUCCCCAGCCAGCAUGCUAACCUAGCUAGAGAGAUGGUGCAUUUUCAGAAAAAGGAGGGGGGGGAGAGUAACAGCAAUACUGCAAGACACAGCGCAAAUAUUGGAGCAGAAUCCCUCGAGAAUGAAUCUAAUGUAGGGGAAGGGGUGACUCUCCUCCCAACCUGUCUUAGGUAGAGGCCGGCGAGAGGUCCGUCAGAGAUGCUCCACUUUGGAUUGAGCAGGAGGUGGUACAGAAUGGCCCCUUCCAACUCUUACGAUUCUGAUUCUUAAAAUUAAGAGUGUAGGGAAGCGGAAGUGAAUUCAUUUAGAAACGUUACGUUUCCUUAGGAAAAGAGAAGUGACUCUUAAUAGGAAUAGAAGCUAAAGCCCACCGCUCAUUGCACACACACACACACCCGGUCGCGUAGGGAGAAAGCCUAAAAACCGUCAACCUCCAGAAACAGCAACAACUAAAAUGGCGCCUCCGCUUUCUUGUUUAUAAUGGCUGAGUCAAUUUGCCUCCGUGUCCAAUGAGAAGCGAGUUUACGGGGUGAGAGCGUGAACAUUUUUCUCCCCUGUCAAAACAUAGCAAGGCAUAUAAGAGAGCAUAGUCAAUCCGGGCCCUUGGAAUGGUUGAUGCGGAGUUGUAAUUGGCUCGCAGAAAGGGUGUAAGAGAGUCGGUGUGUUUUGUCCAAUGAGAGGUCUUUCUUUGAACGUGGAGGGGGUGGGAAGUGUUGCUCAGGUAACGCAAGUGCAGGUGAGAAGCCAAUGGAGGUGGGAGGAAGGAAAUGACAGUUUUGCCUGUGGAAAGGCUGGAGCAUACGCGUGAUCCACUCCGGGAGGUGGAGACAGGGAAUCGCCGCCGGGGAAGCUUUUCAGGACUGUGUAGCCCGUUGUACGUCUGUAAGUGGGACCUCGGAGAAAACCCAUGCAACGAGGAGGCCCAUGACUUUGCCUUCUUUGCUAUG